CCGCUAGGAAGAUUACCUUUUUAAACAAAAUAUUUAAAUGCUCUGGCAUAAGAAACACAGUAUACUCCGUUUUCUUUGCAUAUAUUCAUUUAAUACAGAACUUUACCUCUUCACCUGGACAAGCCAAUCAAACUUCAAGAACAGGUGAUUUAUCACCACUAUGUAUAAAAGUAUUUGAUUAGAGAAAAAGCAAUGAAAAUCCUACUGAUAAAAAAAGGGUGAGUCUUAUUUGUUGGCUAUUAGUGGUGCAUUUGCAAGAAGUUCACACCAGCAUAAACUGCUCUCUGCUUUUCCAGCCCAGCCAGGAAAUGAAUGCAACCAGAGCACAGUGGGUGACCUGGUGAAACAGCUUCUGAAACAGCUUCUCUGCUGACUCUGCUCGGUGGGAACUCCUUCCCUGGAAACUCCACUGCUGGAGAGUACUUGAGAAUUAAACCCCAAGUUCCCAAAGAAAACAUUCCACAGAAUGAAAGAUUUAGAAGUAGGAGGCAUUUGCUCCCAUAGAGAAAUACACAGGAAUAACAAGAAACUUGAGUACCUCUUCUCAUGGGAAAGGGAAAGUCCGGAAACUUAGAUUUUCUUCUAGACUUCCGGGAAUAAUGCUCUGAAAUAUCCUCACCAAAGGGCUUUGCACUGUCCAC